UUCAGCGCAGCAUUUGGCAAAGAUUGAAAAUUAACCAUUCCAAAACUUUUGUUUUUCUUUUUUUUUUCCGUCGAUAUUUCAUUUAUUUUAAAAGGCACAAAAGCCCAAAUUAUAAACAGAGUUCGAGUGAGAGAUUAAACCCAAUAUAUUUUAAGCCCAAUAUAAGCAUGUACAAAAGAUAGGAUAAGUUCCAAUUUAAGGCCAACCACGUGUCGAGAUUUUAGGGAAUGACGUCAUCCGGAUAGACUCGAAUUCUCUGGAACAUCACCGAAGAAACAUUUCCUGGUAAGCUUUCGACGGUGAUACCUACGGUGAGCUUCUCUUCCAGGGUCUCAACUCAAAAGAUGUUAGUACACCUUAUGUUAAUCGCCGGGUUGAUGAUAGGUCUAAAUCUGAAGCACCGGAAAAUAAGCUCGCAGAUGACUGAGGUCAAACACUCUUUGGCGCACCACCUAAUACGGUGAAGAGACAACUAUUUCUUCAUGUUCAAACACAAUUGAUCUGAAUCUCUUGAAUCUUCUGUUUAUUGAGAAACUCCACUUCAAACAAACUCAAUAGAGAAAGUGUAGAUUUACUCACAAUAAAAGAAGAACAAGCAAUACCGGAAAAAACAGAAAGAAGUAUAAAUCAACCCAGAAAAAUAACUUCCUAAUGGAAAUCAAAAAGCAAAGGUUAACACGCAGAAGGUGAGCAUAGAUGUAAAAUAAAACAAAAACAAAUAUAAACCGAAUACAUCAGAUUUUACAUCGGACUUAGCCGAAAAAGAUACCGAUCUCAAAAGAUCGGGACACCAGAAAACAAAAGAAAUAGAGGUGACCGACGGCUUUUGGCCGCCGCCGGCCACCCUACACGGCAAGCUUUACUGGAGAUUUUUUAGAGAGAUGAGAGAACUUAAUCCUAGAGAGAGAAAUUCUUUUUUACAAAGCAAACUUUUGUUUAACUGUGAUAAAAAAAAGCGGUUGAAGUGUACCAUCUCUAUUUUUUCUGUAUGAAGCAAUUCUUGAAUUUAAUUUCUAUAAAUUAUAGUAUAUGCAUUGACUAGAAUAACGUGUAUCAGCUUUUUAGCUCCUUUUAAACAUGAUGGUUAUGAUUUGCGAGCUAUACCCAAUGAAAAAAAAAGUCAGCUAAUACUUGCACUUUUGGAAUAAUAGUUAGGUUUCCACCGUCAAAUGCGCCAUAACCAAAAGGCUAGGCUUAUCUUAUAUAAAUAUAGUAAUAUCCAAUCUAAGUCAAAACCGAAGAUAAACAAAAUUGUGCCACGUUAAUCAAAAAAGAUAUUAUCUUUGGUAAGCUUUUGACCUUAGGUAAUUAAAUAAAACUAACUUUCCAUAUAUGUAUCUUUUGAUCUCACCCGCACAGUUGGAGACUUGGAGCCCAAUUUCCUUGCACUCUUGUCUAGGGGUGGGCAUUUUAUCCGAAAUCCGAAGUGGCAUCCGAACCCGAUCCGAAAAAUCCGAACCGAAAUCUGAUGAUAGGAGUUUCAAGGCUCCUAAUCAAAUGUUGUAGUAUAAAGGAUGUCAAACCAGUUCUAAGUGAUUCUAAAGCAAAGAGAAUGCAAGACCAUGCUUAAUCUAAGUGCUACCAGUUUUUGAGAUGUUUUUAAACUAGAUUACUACCUAAAAUGCAAUAAAGGACAAAGCUUUCUUUCUUAUAAGAAGGGAGAACUCAUGGGCUAUGGGAAUCGAUCUUGGGUGAUCAAGAUUCAACCUAAAGGUGUCAACUUUGAACCAAUCUAUAUCUACCUUAGACCUAGACACAAUCCUAAACAAACUCUAUCCCUAGAUGAAUGCUCAUUUACCUAGAUAACUCAAGCAUCAAAUCCCUUUGGUUGAAUGUUAUCUAGGUAAUCAUUAAUCACAAGUCUACUAGCCAUCUUAACACCUUUAACAACAAAUCCCUUUGGUAAAGGAUGUUAAAAGCUUAGGAGAGUUGGUUCAGGCAUUUCAUCAAACACCUUCCGGGUAUGAAAUGCCUAGAGCUCAACUUUAGAGAGGCCAACUCUAAAAUUGCAUUAAAAGCCCUCUACUAGCAAGGAAUAAGAUUGAUCUAUACCUAAACACCUUAGAUCUAGCUUAAUCACCCUUAAUAACACACAUGGUUGAACAUCUUCUGUAUACAUAAUAGCCAUUUUAGUGUUAAAAGAGCAUUUAAACGACGAGAGGAAAUACACCAAAAUAUUUGUUUCAUAUCUUAGUGGACAAAAUUAUAAACAAAAUAGCAUUGUACUAAGGACUAGUUAGAUAAUAAUACAUAAUAUUAGUAUUUGGUAGUAGUUGCAAGUGAUUUUAAGAAGAUAGACGUGGACCAAAAAUUAAACCGGGUCUCACUGGUUACCAUUCGGUAAAUAAGAAGAACGAGUAAAAAAAAUGUACGGGAAUAAAAUAGCAAGAAUGAAAAUGAACGGUUGUUUCUUAUCAAAUUUAACAAGGAAUAAUUUUGUUCUUCAAUUCUCUACAAAAAAAAAGAAUGAAAGGGAAUGAGAGGGAAUUAUUAUUACUUGUGAAUGGUGAUUUUUUUAGGAACGUUAGAGAAUGCAUUAUUCCUCGCUGUUCUCUGGUCACCGUUCAUACCCAAAAGUGUAUACUAAUAGGAAAUAAAUGGUUAUGUAUUCGUAGUGCUAAUACAAUUAAAACAAAUUCUUAACGCUGUUAUCUUUUUACUUUUGUCAUCUCAUUUUUUAUUACAAUUGAAAUAGACAAAUUGGCGGGAUAAAAAUACAUCCCCAUAAAUAAGAAUCAAUAAAAUUAUAUUUCAAAUUUAUCUUUGGAAAAUUGGACAGAAAGUUUUAAUUUUCUAAUUAUAAAAAAACUUUCUAAUAAAGCACGCACAAAAGUUGUCGGCUCUAGGCUGUUUCACUUUUCAGUUUUAAUCUGAAAUCAAAAUUUUAUUCAAAUGGUUUAAAGAAAAUAAUCAUAGAUUUCAACAGUCAGAUUUUCAUAUUCGGAUACUUUCCAGCUAUCAAAAAAAAAAAACUAGUCUCAGUUCUUUUUUAAAUUGAAUGGAACUCGAGUAAAUGUCCAUUUCACGUUUUGAAACGUUUCAGAAUCGGAGUUUCUUGAAACUCGUAGAAACACAUUCAAAACUCGUUUUUUUUUAAUUUCAUUUUAGAAUUUUAGAAAUUACAGAUUCUGUUUUGCAAAAGCAAAAAAAAAAACUCUUAUGUUAUUUUUAAUUUAAAACAGAUUUAUAAACCAUUUAUAAAUAUGGGGAUAUACUUUGCAAAGAGCAGAAGAUUUGGUAUUUGUGCACACUAAUCUUCUUCUUCCAUCUAGACGAAGUCUUGAAUACAAAGAUGGUUUUAAUCAUAUAUGAGAUGUUGGAGGUUUGAUUCAUUGUAUGAGAUUAAUAUUGGGAGACUUGAAUUUAUCUUUCUCUUGAUGAUAAAUUUGAUAAAUGGUUAAGUUUGCUGGAGCUAAUGAAAAUGAGGCUGAAGAUGAUGCUAUUGAUCUUUGGCUUGUCUUUAUGAUUUUUUAUCUUGAGUUAAGUUAAGUAAUAUAUGAGUAUUGGAUUUGUGUUAUUUUGAAUUUUUAUAUGAUUUUCGAUAUUUUAUUUUUAUUUAUUUUAUUUCUGUAUACUUAAACACUAUCAAUGGUUAUUUGUUGAUUUGUAUUCUUAGAUGCAUUAAAUAGAAGAAAACAAUUGUACUUAUAUGUUAAUCAAUCAUAUAUAUAUAUAUAUAUAUAUAUAUAAACGUUCCAAAAUGUUUUCAUUCCUAUUUUUUGUUAAUAAUCACGUUUCUACGUUUCAAAAAAACAUAUAGCCGUUUCCGAUUCCUUCCAACCUAGGAUCUUUCUCAACCCCUCGGCCCUCGGUUUCUUAUCUACAGCUUGUUUUUACUUAUUUUAUUGUUACUACGACUUUCAAGAACAUGUAUGUGCGCAACAUGGUUUUUUAGCCACAUUAUCGGUACACUUUUAUCGGGAGACCCUCGAAAGAGUGAUAUAGUUGAAGAGAUGUGGUCAAGUUAUUUUGGGUGAUAUGUUGAAUUUUGAGUCGCUAAACAAACAUAAAAUUAUCUUUUUUGAACUAAUCGCAUAUACGCCAAUGCCAUAAAAAUAUUGUUCAGCGCAGCAUUUGGCAAAGAUUGAAAAUUAACCAUUCCAAAACUUUUGUUUUUCUUUUUUUUUUCCGUCGAUAUUUCAUUUAUUUUAAAAGGCACAAAAGCCCAAAUUAUAAACAGAGUUCGAGUGAGAGAUUAAACCCAAUAUAUUUUAAGCCCAAUAUAAGCAUGUACAAAAGAUAGGAUAAGUUCCAAUUUAAGGCCAACCACGUGUCGAGAUUUUAGGGAAUGACGUCAUCCGGAUAGACUCGAAUUCUCUGGAACAUCACCGAAGAAACAUUUCCUGGUAAGCUUUCGACGGUGAUACCUACGGUGAGCUUCUCUUCCAGGGUCUCAACUCAAAAGAUGUUAGUACACCUUAUGUUAAUCGCCGGGUUGAUGAUAGGUCUAAAUCUGAAGCACCGGAAAAUAAGCUCGCAGAUGACUGAGGUCAAACACUCUUUGGCGCACCACCUAAUACGGUGAAGAGACAACUAUUUCUUCAUGUUCAAACACAAUUGAUCUGAAUCUCUUGAAUCUUCUGUUUAUUGAGAAACUCCACUUCAAACAAACUCAAUAGAGAAAGUGUAGAUUUACUCACAAUAAAAGAAGAACAAGCAAUACCGGAAAAAACAGAAAGAAGUAUAAAUCAACCCAGAAAAAUAACUUCCUAAUGGAAAUCAAAAAGCAAAGGUUAACACGCAGAAGGUGAGCAUAGAUGUAAAAUAAAACAAAAACAAAUAUAAACCGAAUACAUCAGAUUUUACAUCGGACUUAGCCGAAAAAGAUACCGAUCUCAAAAGAUCGGGACACCAGAAAACAAAAGAAAUAGAGGUGACCGACGGCUUUUGGCCGCCGCCGGCCACCCUACACGGCAAGCUUUACUGGAGAUUUUUUAGAGAGAUGAGAGAACUUAAUCCUAGAGAGAGAAAUUCUUUUUUACAAAGCAAACUUUUGUUUAACUGUGAUAAAAAAAAGCGGUUGAAGUGUACCAUCUCUAUUUUUU
rnacentral:lncRNA from 1 species